GUGCUUGCCUCAGCAGCACAUACACUAAUAUUGAACCAUGCAGAGAAGAUUAGCUUGUUCCUGCACAAGGAUGACAUGCAAAUUCGUGAAGUGUUCCAUGUUUCU